CCGUGCUAGGCGGGGAGCUAGCGGUGCCCUGUACCCGCGAUCCGCUUCAGCGGGGCUGAAUCCCCGCCCGAGGCCCGUGAGGUCCGGAGCGCCCCGGCACGGAGCGCUGAAGGUCGGGUCCCACGCGACGCCGGAACGCGAACCGGGUCAGGUCCGGAAGGAAGCAGCCCUAAGCGUGAACCGGCGGGUGCCGUGGGUCAGCCCGGCUGGAGCUCCUCUGUCGGGUAGCGGCCGAGUUUCGCGGCGUCGACGGCGGGUGCACGG
rnacentral:SRP_RNA from 1 species